GGUUUGCGGACCCACGGGGAGUCGCGGUGGAAAGGCGCGGCCCGCUGAUUCCCGUCAUGUGACAAGAAGCGGAAACUACGCUGAAAUAGGCCCUGGCUCCAGGUCCCAGUAACUCGGAAUGCGGAGCCGCUCGUCUCCGUCUUUUUUAAGUGCACUGGUACCAUCAUAGUUCACUGCUGCUUCAUACUCCUGGACUCAAGCAAUCCUCCCUCCUUGGUCUCCCAAAGUGCUGAGAUUACAGGUGUGAGCCACCUCCCUGGCCAUAAAGGAAUAUUUGGUGAAUUACUGACAAAUAGCUGAGGCAUGGGGAAAAAUAACCUGCCACAAUUUGAGAACACACACACAGACUGAAUGACACGGGGAAUCCUACAGCUGAGCUAGAGAGAUGAAGAUGCAUCUGGUUCAUUUAACAGGUGAGA
rnacentral:antisense_RNA from 1 species